AACGGCCAUACCAUGCUGAAUAUACCGGUUCUCGUUAGAUCACCGAAGUCAAGCUUCAUUGGGAUGUACUUGGGUGGGUGACCACCUGGGAACACCUCAUGCCGUU